GGCUUCUAUAUAUCACAUAAUAUAUAUCAUUCAAUUUAUAGGGAAAAAAACUAUUUACCCUUUUCUAGACUUUGAUUGGUUGUCUCCAUCUUUUUCUCUGUGGGUUUUUGUCGUGCUGCAUUUCCUUUUAUUUUCAUUUUCAUUUUUAUUAAUUUUUAAUUUUAAUAAUUAAUUAAUUUUAUUUUAAAAUAAAAAAUUCAUAAUUUAACUAAUUAAUUAUCAUUAUUAUUAGUAUUAUUGUUUUUUUUUGGGUGCGUAUGUUUGUUUUUCUUAAUGUUCAAUUCUAGCGGCAGUCUUGGAAUUGUUAACAUCAAGUUCAAGGGUCAAACACUUCUCUGCAAAUAGAGUUGGUUUUUCCUUCCGACCCAAAGCCGAAGUAGUCCACAUCUUCCUCCUUCCGUGCUCCUUGGCAUCAUAUAGUUAGGCUGAUAGGUACCAUCAAAACUAGAGUUAGCAACUAAGUUGAGAAUGGAGAGAACACCACCUUUUGGAAAGAAGCUUAGCUGAAAUAUGAACCCCUUUGUGCUACUUAUCAUACCAACAUUCCCACGAGCUUAUUACUAUUGUCCUAAUGCUUCUUCUUCUUCUUUUUUAUAAGAAACUUCAAGAGAAUAUAUUUUUGCAUUUUUAGCCUAAAAAUGACAAUUAAGAAACAAAGCAAAUUCGAUUCCCUAAAAAUAGCCAAUAUACCAGGAUAAGAAGAUUCUUGGGCAAUCAGGCUCAAAGCCCAACACCUCGAGGGAGCACUAACUUACGCUCGGGCCCUACCCCCAGAGGGCCCUCACUUACCUUUGGAAUUACUAAGAACUCCUUAAGGGUAGGGUAGAGGAGACCCUCCAAUCAAAGCUACACACACUGAGAGCCUUCCAAUCAUUGAUAAUCGACAGGUUAUAGUUACAAUUUUUUUUGUAGGUAAUGGAAUCCACCCGAGGACUGUUUUCUGUUUAAGAUUACAAAAAAACAAAAAAUUAGAAGACUUAUCUUCGAAGAAUCUAGCAUCUCUUUGCUUCCAAAUGUGCCACAAAGGGACUCUUACAGGCACAACUACUACUACCUUGUCUCUUCCCUUACAAAUUGCAUGCACAAAGGCCUCCAUAAACCCAAUCUUCCACUUUCUUUGUAAGGAAGGAGAAACUCCCAAGCAAUCAGCCAAGUAAAUCCACAAGCGAAAGGCAAAAUUGCAAUAGUGGCAGUAUCUUCCACCUCAUAAACUUUCUUCAGAGUCUAUCACUACUAUUUACACUCCUAGAGGCUAAGAUCAAAGUAAAAUCGUACUUCUCAACUUUCUAUGGACAUCUAUGUUACCAAAUCAAGCUAGUCAAAUAAGUUAUAUUGUUAUAAUUAGUGGCCUUGGCCCAAGGAAAUAUUUACACUAAUUUUCUUUCAUUUUUUAUCAUAAGCUUGUUGUCUAUUUAUUUUUUCCUUUUGAAUCUUUUACCGCUUUUAAUAUGGUAUCAGAGUGGGGUAAAGAUGUGAAACCCUAGACACCAAUCUUGAUGAAACCCAAACUGACCAUGAGACAGUCGUUGUUGCUGUUGGCAUCAACACCGCUGUCACCGCUACCAUGGAAAAACUACAACAACAGCUUCAGAAGCCGUUGAUGAGUAUUUCUGUCUUACUCUUGGAGCCAGUCGCGCCGCCUAGUGGAUGAAACUAGUUGUACUUACACCCACCGUUGCCGUUGCCUAGCGCUUACGUCCACACGCUGCUAGUUUACACGUCACUGCUGCUUAUGCCCACCGUUGCUUAACGCUUAUGUCCACGUGCCGUUGUCCAACUCCUCCACCGUUCAACCGACCGUAGUACCCUUUUGGUCAACUGCAUAUCCGUACGCCGCCACUGCCCUCAUUUCGUGUGUUGUCCUCGUUUCAUGUGUCGCUGCCCUUCGAUUCUUUAUAGCAGCCUCACAUUCGUGGUAAUGGAAUCAAUCAACUCCAUAAUAAAUUAGGGUUUGAAGUUGGUGAAUCUUCGGCAUAAUCCAACCAACUGACUUGUCGAUGUAUUCCAAGAACCCGGGUAGACUCUUCAUCUCCCGCUCGUGAUGCCUAGGAACGUUUUUGGAGAGGUGAUGACUCUUUUAUUCGGUCCAUGUUGAUUGAUAGUAUGGAACCAGAAAUUAGCAAGUCUUUGCUUUGUGCAGCAAUUGCAAAGGAUCUAUGGGACAAUAUUAGAAACUCCAUUUCAAGCGUCAUAACGCCUUUUGUCUAUAUACAAUGAGGAAGCAAGUCAAUGGUUGCAAGCAAGGAACUCUGGAUGUAACCUCUUACUUCAAUAAACUUUCCUUACCUUGGCAAGAGAUGGACCUAUGCAAAGAGACAAUAUGUGAUACUUCGAAUGAUGACAUACAAUAUGCUAGACAUGAAGAAGCUAAUCGUAUUUAUGAUUUCCUUGUAGGUCUUAAUCCCAAGUUUGACAUUGUUUGUGGUCGUAUACUUGGCCAGAGACCCAUUUUCUUUGCAAUCGAAGCGUGUUAUGAAGGUCUUAAUCCCAACUUUAAUGCUUAUCGUAACGUCUAUUUCAAUGUAUUUCUUUCUUUCCCGCAUUUUAUAAAUAAAAUUUCCUUCAAACGCCGAGGAAGGUUACGACAUACAUCGACGUUAUCCACAACUCUUGUUCAUUGAGUUAGAACAAGUGCCGCACAAUCGUCCGUCUCGAGGUUGAAACGCUAGGAUUGUGACAAGUGGUAUCAGAACCGAGGUUGAAACGCUAGGAUUGUGACAAGUAGUAUCAGAACCAAAUUGGCGUUCAGAAAGAUGUCGACUGCAAAACGAACAGGCAAGACCCAUGAAGAACGGUUGGUGGGGAUCGAAGAGCAGAUGCUCCACCUGAUGGAAGUUCCUGAUUCCAUCCGAUUUAUUGAGGAACGACUUGAGGAAGUUGACAAGAGAGCCGAUGUUGUUGACGCAGUGUCCGGUCGCCUGGACGGAUUACCCAUACAAGACUUGUUGGCUAGAGUUGACACGUUAGAGUCACAAAUCAGGAUAAUUGAAAAUGUUCCCUACCAGCGUGGGGACACUUCAUCGGGCUCUGUUGCCCGGAUGGAGGAGUGAGUUAUGGAGCUAGAUAACUCCCAGAAGGAUAUAAUGGAAAUGAUAAAUGACAUGACAGGAUUUUCGAGCUACUCUCAAUGUCGUUAGAAACGGAAUCGUAGAGGUGAACACGAAGUUGAACCUUAUGAUGCGAGCGUUGGCAAAUUAAGCUCCGGCUGGAGGAGCGAUUACAGUUGGCAAGAUAAAGAUCCCAGAACCCAAGCCCUUCUGUGGGGCAAGGGAUGCAAAGGCACUGGAAAACUUUAUCUUCGACAUUGAUUAGUACUUCAAAGCCACAAAUACUAAUACGAAAGAAGCCAAAGUGACAUUGGCGACCAUGCAUCUGUCUGAAGAUGCAAAGUUGUGGUGGAGAUCCCGGUACGUGGACAUUCAGGAAGGACGUUGCACCAUAGAUACUUGGGACAGUUUGAAGAGAGAACUUCGCUCGCAGUUUUUUCCCGAGAAUUUCGAGAUUCUAGCUCGAUGGAAACUGCAGGAAUUGGAACAAACUGGAACCAUUCGGGAGUAUGUGAAGCAAUUCACGGGGCUGAUGUUAGAUAUAUCUGAUAUGACUGAAAAUGACAAAAUUUUUAGUUUUGUUGAAGGGCUAAAGUUGUGGGCAAGGACUAAGCUGCACGAGCAGAGAGUUCAAGACCUCGCUUCGGCCUAUGCAACAACUGAGCGUUUGUUUGAUCUGUCUAGUGAUGCUCAAGAGACUGAAACAACCGAUCGAAUUCUCCCGAAGAUGGCAGUGGAAAGAGAUGUCCUGGGAGAGAUCGCAAGCCUUCCCAGCCAAAUACAGGGAACAUCUGGCGAAGACCCAAUGGUCAGGGGUCGUCCCAUACUCCUAUCAGUUGCUACAUAUGUAAUGGGCCACAUCGGGCAAGGGAAUUUUCGGAUAAAGCAACCUUCUAUGCCUUUUAGGCCUCUUUAACUGCAGACUCAGAUGACACGUCGAGUCAACUAGAGAAGGAAGUUGGACAAGUAGAAGGGGUUCAAAAUGUUAGAGUGGGAGCCAUAAGACUAUUGUCGUCUCUUCUGAAGAAAGCGGGGGAGACAAGUAAUCGGACAAAAGGGGGCCUGAUAUAUGUUGACACCUAGAUCAACCGAAAGCAUGCAAGGAGCACUAUGGUCGACUCCAGUGCAACUCAUAAUUUUAUAACGGUGGCCGAAGCCAGACGAUUAAAUCUUCAUUGGAAGAAGGAUACGGGAAAAAGAAGGCCCUGAAUUCUACAGCUUUACCCGUCGUUGGAGUAGUGAAACGGGCGGUGAUACAGUUGGGAGGAUGGAGCGGUUUUGUUGAUUUCGUAGUUGUAGGCAUGGAUGACUUUGAUAUAGUUCUCGGAAUGGAAUUCCUUCUCGAACAUCAAGUGAUCAUGAUGCCUACAGCUAGAUGUCUGGUGAUCACGGGGUCUACCCCCACCGUUGUACAGACAGACCUUCGGCAACCCAAAGGAUUGAGAAUGAUCUCGGUCAUGCAACUGAGAGAGAGCCGUGUUUGAGAAGACACAAGGUGUGUCGUGGAGAGAUAUUGUGAUGGGAAACGUGAUAGUUUGCCCAUGUCAGAAUCGCCUACAAAGAAUGAUUGUCGUAUGGCGCAGUCAGAGUCAUCUGGACUCGGGAGACAGUCAAAGAGAUUGUCGGGUGCAGGAUUCACUAGACCUGCAAAAGCUCCAUAUAAAGCACAAGACUUUUUACGUGAAGAAGAGAAAGGACGGUUGGGUAUCGACAGCUGUGUCCUGAAGCAAGCCCCGAGGAGAGGGCCAACUCUUGGGUCCGUGAGUGUGACCCAACCUGUUGAAGCUUACACUGAGGUGUGUAAUCAUGCGUUAAGUGGUGUCCUACUGCAGAAUGGACACCCUAUUGCAUUUGAGAGUCAGAAGAAGAGUGCCACAGAAGGCAAUUAUACAGUGUUUGAAGAAGAAACGCUUGCCAUAGUACCCAGUCUGAGGGAUGGGAGACAGUAUUCCCAUAGAUCGACUUUUAUCAGAGAGAGAUGAACAACAAUUUUGGCAGCCAUUUCGGUACUUGGCCGAAUCUGACUUCGAAUCAAGCAAGGAGACGAAAAGACGUGCUCAGACUUGAUUUUGGGUCAGAACGUAAGAAGAGCAAUCAUGGGGUUCCACAUGUGUCAACUCGUACACAGGCAUGUCAAGCCGAUGGCCCAAUGCGAGACGCGUCAGAAGAAUCCAUGUAGAAAAACUCUGUUUCUCAAAAUGGCAUGAGUUUGACGAAGGCCGGUAAGUUACUGCAAAAGAAUGGGGGUCAUUCGCUGGAGGCAACCCAACCUUGUGUUAUAGCUAUGAAGAACUCAUCAACUGACAGAAGUCCAACAAAGAGUGUUGGUGGCGGACAACAUGUAUUGUCGCGUCUUGUUGAUUUCCCCUGUAUGAAAAAGGAUCCUCAGACUCGUAGCAUUGCAAAGAAGUGGAAGUGGAGAUCAGACACUGUUUGGGUCAAUCUAGAGAGAGUCUCGAAGCGGCCGAAAAGAUGGGCAUAUGGGAAGCAUCACCCCUUGGACCUUCAUGUGGAAGGUCAGGGCAUCGUGAAGUUGCGACCUGAACAGACUUGGUCUUUGAAGAUGCAAAGAUCUCCACCUCGUGAGAGGACACGAGGAACCAGUAGAAGUUGAAGAAGAAGACCCACAGAGAGGAUACACAAGUUCAUGGUGAAGUAGAAGACCCUCCUCGUGGAAGAAGCAUGUGGAAGACGUACCAAAGACCGUGAAGCGUGGAGGCAGAAGAUCGAAGGAUUCCAGCUUUGCCAGUCGACGGGGACGUCAACUGUUUAAGUGAGGGAGUGUGUCACGGACAUAUUUUUCCAAAGUGUGUUUACCUUUGGUUCUAUGCUCCGAUUACCCCCAGUUUAUCUCAUCUUUAAUUCCCAUAACUAGUUUAGGUGUAUGCUUUUCAUUCUAGGUCAUAAAACUUGGGUGUGACGUUUCGGCAUUUUCAUAUGCAAGCCUACCAGAGCUGAAAAUGUUCAAAUGUACUAUAGGGGAGGCAUACCAGUUGAAUUCCCGCCCAAGCAUUCGUUGUACCCUUUGCAAGCUACCCUUUUUCCUUGCAAUUGACAGCCAUUAAUGCUUAUCAUAA